rnacentral:lncRNA from 1 species
GUCGAGGAUGGAAAAAAGCAUAAAACGACCCAAACCAAUCCACUUUCCGAACAUGAGAAGAGUGUGCAGGUUUACACAAUGUGAUUGAUAGAUCACAAAGUAUUGAAAGAUUGCAAAUUGGUUGGAACAAUGAAAGAAAUGCUUUGAGAGGAAAUAAUGAUAAGAUACAGCGAUUGGAAGAAGAGGUAGGAUCCCAACACUUUUAUUAUUAUUUAAAGAUUGGUUAUGCAAACUACGAUUUAUUGACUUCCAAUUUUGCCAACAGCUCAAAGCCUUGAUCCAUCCGGAAUCUUUUUUCUUUUUUUUCAAACCUCCGGAUAUCCCAGAAAGUCUCAAGCUUUCCUAGCACGGGGAGAGCGGCCACUUGGGCCUCUUGUUUUUGAUGAAGCAGUUCCUCAUCCUCUCCUCCACCUGGUCGAUCAUGGCCUUGGAAUUCUCCUCGGCCUCGCCGUCAACAUUGUCCCCAACUUGCAUUGGCUCGGCGGUGCCGGUGGAGGAGGAGGAGGAGUUCUCGGCAGUGAAGGCAGGAGCAGCGGGAGGGUGAUGGGAAGGUGGGAGGAGGUGGUGGGUGGAAAAGAGGAAGGAGGAGAGGAGGAGGUGGGACUGGUGGAGGGAGGAGCGGAUGUGGAGGAGUGGGUGGGGUCGGCGGUGGAGGCGAGUUGCUUGGUGAUGAAGG